AAGUUUAAGGUGGUAGGCUGAAAUCUUAGGUAAAUCCGGGGUUUCAAGGCCGAGAGCUGAUGACGAGUCGUCUUUUAGAUGACGAAGUGGUUGAUGCCAUGCUUCCAAGAAAAGCUUCUAAGCUUCAGGUAACCAGGAACCGUACCCCAAACCGACACAGGUGGUCGGGUAGAGAAUACCAAGGCGCUUGAGAGAACUCGGGUGAAGGAACUAGGCAAAAUGGCACCGUAACUUCGGGAGAAGGUGCGCCGGCUAGGGUGAAGGAUUUACUCCGUAAGCUCUGGCUGGUCGAAGAUACCAGGCCGCUGCGACUGUUUAUUAAAAACACAGCACUCUGCAAACACGAAAGUGGACGUAUAGGGUGUGACGCCUGCCCGGUGCCGGAAGGUUAAUUGAUGGGGUUAGCGCAAGCGAAGCUCUUGAUCGAAGCCCCGGUAAACGGCGGCCGUAACUAUAACGGUCCUAAGGUAGCGAAAUUCCUUGUCGGGUAAGUUCCGACCUGCACGAAUGGCGUAACGAUGGCGGCGCUGUCUCCACCCGAGACUCAGUGAAAUUGAAAUCGCUGUGAAGAUGCAGUGUAUCCGCGGCUAGACGGAAAGACCCCGUGAACCUUUACUGUAGCUUUGCACUGGACUUUGAGCCUGCUUGUGUAGGAUAGGUGGGAGGCUUUGAAGCGUGGACGCCAGUUCGCGUGGAGCCAUCCUUGAAAUACCACCCUGGCAUGCUUGAGGUUCUAACUCUGGUCCGUGAUCCGGAUCGAGGACAGUGUAUGGUGGGCAGUUUGACUGGGGCGGUCUCCUCCUAAAGAGUAACGGAGGAGUACGAAGGUGCGCUCAGACCGGUCGGAAAUCGGUCGCAGAGUAUAAAGGCAAAAGCGCGCUUGACUGCGAGACAGACACGUCGAGCAGGUACGAAAGUAGGUCUUAGUGAUCCGGUGGUUCUGUAUGGAAGGGCCAUCGCUCAACGGAUAAAAGGUACUCCGGGGAUAACAGGCUGAUACCGCCCAAGAGUUCAUAUCGACGGCGGUGUUUGGCACCUCGAUGUCGGCUCAUCACAUCCUGGGGCUGAAGCCGGUCCCAAGGGUAUGGCUGUUCGCCAUUUAAAGUGGUACGCGAGCUGGGUUUAGAACGUCGUGAGACAGUUCGGUCCCUAUCUGCCGUGGACGUUUGAGAUUUGAGAGGGGCUGCUCCUAGUACGAGAGGACCGGAGUGGACGAACCUCUGGUGUUCCGGUUGUCACGCCAGUGGCAUUGCCGGGUAGCUAUGUUCGGAAAAGAUAACCGCUGAAAGCAUCUAAGCGGGAAACUUGCCUCAAGAUGAGAUCUCACUGGGAACUUGAUUCCCCUGAAGGGCCGUCGAAGACUACGACGUUGAUAGGCUGGGUGUGUAAGCGUUGUGAGGCGUUGAGCUAACCAGUACUAAUUGCCCGUGAGGCUUGACCAUAUAACACCCAAACA
rnacentral:rRNA from 1 species